AUUGAACGCUGGCGGCAGGCUUAACACAUGCAAGUCGAGCGGAGAUGAGGUGCUUGCACCUUAUCUUAGCGGCGGACGGUUGAGUAAUGCUUAGGAAUCUGCCUAUUAGUGGGGGACAACAUUCCGAAAGGAAUGCUAAUACCGCAUACGUCCUACGGGAGAAAGCAGGGGAUCUUCGGACCUCGCGCUAAUAGAUGAGCCUAAGUCGGAUUAGCUAGUUGGUGGGGUAAAGGCCUACCAAGGCGACGAUCUGUAGCGGGUCUGAGAGGAUGAUCCGCCACACUGGGACUGAGACACGGCCCAGACUCCUACGGGAGGCAGCAGUGGGGAAUAUUGGACAAUGGGGGGAACCCUGAUCCAGCCAUGCCGCGUGUGUGAAGAAGGCCUUAUGGUUGUAAAGCACUUUAAGCGAGGAGGAGGCUACUGAGACUAAUACUCUUGGAUAGUGGACGUUACUCGCAGAAUAAGCACCGGCUAACUCUGUUCCAGCCGCCGCCGUAA
rnacentral:rRNA from 1 species